rfam:Clostridium chromiireducens strain DSM 23318 CLCHR_contig000071, whole genome shotgun sequence.
AUAUUAGUAACGCUGAAUCUUUUUGAACGGGAGAACCAAUUUUUGGGGUGAAUCUUAUUUUAGGAUAAGUAGGGUUAUUUUUCUUCAAUCCGAAUCCGUCAGCUAAUCUCGUAAGCGUUGAAGAGAAGUUUU